UAUAUUUUAUGUUAUGUGAUUGAUUGAAGAAAAAAUAACUGAGAGAAAAAAAGAGAGAAAAGAAGUGAAAGAGAGAAAAGGAGAGAUGCGUCGCGAGCAAGGGCCAGGGACAUCAGAAGGGAUCACCUCCAUCUCCCUGAUUUACCCUCGUCAGAGACUGUCAACGGUGUUUCUUUUUUUGUUUGCUAUUUAUUUCUCCUUUCUUUUGCAGGUCCUGUUAUCCAUCGCGAGGAUUGUUCUUUGGAUUUGGGUGAGGGCUAGUGACUUUGCUUUUGCUGGUGGGAAGGAGUUCCUUUGUUGAUGUCGUCGGAAUCUCCAGGACCGCACCGAUGCAUCCGGUAGUUAUGUUCCGUUUGGCCUCAAUGAUAGCUGCUCCGCAGUGCCUUCUUUCCUCUAUGUCUUGAGCUGUUACUCGUCCAGCUGAAUUCCUCUUCGUUUUAAAUUUAUUUGCAUGCAAGCUUAUUUCUUGUGCCAUUUUGUCUUCUUUUUGGUGUUGCUGCAAUUUUCAUCUGGAUUUGACACCGGUGAUGGUGUGCUCUUUCAUUUGGUGGGUGCCUUAGGCAGUGAGACGGUGGUAGAUACAAAAUUGCUAUGCUAAUGUGGUCUAGCUUGGAUUUGGAUCAUGGAUUCUAAAUUUAGGCUUCUAAGUGUGUGCUUUGUAGUACUUAAUUUUAUAUAUUGACUUUUGUCUUGUUUUGUUGGAAUUGUUUGGCUUGGUUUAUUUUUAAUCUUGUGGUUGGACUCCAACCAUCUUUGUAUUAGCCCUAUUAAGUCUUGACAAAUGCAAUAGUCUUACAUUGUAAAAAAAAUAUAUUUGUUUCAGGUUUUUCCACCAUCAGUGGGUCCUUUCGCAUCGCAGUGUGACUGUUUUCAGUUUUUGUGUUUUGUUUUUGGUGCACUGCCGAUCAAGAGGCUUUGGUGGAAGGGGCUUAUGAUCAUUCAGUUGUUGUACUUGUGCAUGUGAAGGAACUUUUGGUCAAUCAUCCUCGAGAGGUUCUACAUGUAUCGACGGGUGUAUAUUCAGAUUGAAUCCCCUAUGCCGGCGAUUCGUUUCUUUCCAUGUGAGCUCUCCUCGUCUCCUUUCGAUGGUGAUUUGCACUACUUACUGUCUCUAUGCUAUUUGUUGGACUGAAAUCUGUAAUGCUUCUCUAGAUAUUAUUGGUGGUGGUCUGGUCCCAAAGACAAUUAUGGCGUUGACGUUUCUGCUUCUAAGAUUUCUAAGUUGAUAUAGGUUGAAUUUACAGU